UCUAAACUUCAUAUUUAAACUACACAUCCAAAAAUCAACAUAUAAUCAUAAAUCUAAGUUUCAAAAUUUUAAACUUUAUAUAAAUAUUGUUUAACAUAAAAUAUAAUUUUAACCAUCAAAAUAAAGCAUUCACCAUUGAUUGUUUUUUAAUCUAAGGGCUAUAAAUAAAUCUUGUGGUUAUCCACUAAACUUCUUUUUCAUUGGCUGCUUUUUAAUACAAGGAUAACCAAUUCUUAACCAUUGAUUAGUGUUUGACCUAAUGGUCUAAAUUUUUUUUUCUUCAUGUCUUUCUUCUCCUCCUUUCACGCCUCUUCUCCUCCUCUCUUUCCAGUUCUUCACAGUCUCAGAUUUUCAUCUCUCUCACUUUCUGUCUUGUAAACGAGAGAGAUUCAUAAUCAUCACUUUGCUAUCGCCACGGAUCUUAAGCUCGGUCGUCGUCAUCAUCUACACUCGCCCCCGUCAUCCUUGUUGCCGCUUCUCAGAUCCGUAGUCUCCACCACCACCGCUUCUCACCACACUGAUUCAGAGCAGAGCGCCGGAGAUAGAUGAAAAGGGUGACGGCGGUGGCCUGAGCUUCUCUCCGCUGAGAAAGAGAAGACAGGGGAAGAGGAAGACAGUAUUGGUCAUGGGCUUGUGGCGAGGAGGCGACGGAGAAUCUGGUGGUCGUGAGAAGAGUGGAGGCAUGGGGCUUGCGGCGAUGAUGGGACGGAGAAGCUGGUGGUCGUGAGAAGAGGUGCUGGAUCCAUGGCAGAGUUUGUCGUUGAUGGAGGUGGUUGCCGGCGGUGGAGUUAAGAAGCUUGAAGAUGGCGUGUUUUGUUAUUAGGUUUAGUUAGCAAAUAGGUUUAGGUCUAAGUUUGGUUUAGUUUGGUUUAUUUUUUUCCAUGUAAACCAGUUGUAAUUUGUAAUUCAAUCUAAUUUAUAAAUUAUAAUUUUGAUA